rnacentral:rRNA from 1 species
GACGGACGCUGGCGGCGUGGAUUAGGCAUGCAAGUCGAACGGUAGGAUACCUUCGGGUAUCUGAGAGUGGCGAACGGGUGAGUAACACGUAGGUGAUCUACCCUCAAGAUUGGGACAACCCAGGGAAACUUGGGCUAAUACCGGAUGAAAGCAGCAGUGAUGUUGUUUGAAAGGUGGCGUAAGCUGCCGUUUGGGGAUGAGCCUGCGCUCUAUUAGUUAGUUGGCGGGGUAAAGGCCCACCAAGGCGAUGAUAGAUAGGCGGCCUUAACGGGUGGUCGCCCACACUGGGAUUGAGAUACGGCCCAGACUCCUACGGGAGGCAGCAGUCGAGAAUAGUCUACAAUGGCCGAAAGGCUGAUAGUGCGACGCCGCGUGAACGAAGAAGCCCUUCGGGGUGUAAAGUUCUUUUAUAUGUGAGCAGUGCUUUCUAUGUGAACAGCAUGGGGAGAGAGAUAUUAGCAUAUGAAUAAGCAACGGCUAACUCCGUGCCAGCAGCCG